CGCGUAGGCGGUCUUUUAAGUCAGAUGUGAAAGCCCGGGGCUCAACCUCGGAAGUGCAUUUGAAACUAAAGGACUUGAGUAUGGGAGAGGGAAGUGGAAUUCCUGGUGUAGAGGUGAAAUUCGUAGAUAUCAGGAGGAACACCGGUGGCGAAGGCGACUUCCUGGACCAAUACUGACGCUGAGGCGCGAAGGCGUGGGUAGCAAACA
rnacentral:rRNA from 1 species